rfam:Picea glauca, whole genome shotgun sequence.
AUUGCAUGCAACUUGAUUGUAGCUUCGCAAUGACCACCUCUUAUGAAUAUGUGAGAUAAAUGGAAAGUAGUGACAAUUACCAAUCCUUGAAUAGCACUCUUAUGUCAAAGGAUGCUUCACUAGCACAAUCAUCAUUUAUGCAAAUUAUUGAGGGGUUUAUCCAUGCCUCCUAAAGAGAAACAAAGGUGUGCGAAGGUAGGCACUUUCAAUAAGCAAGUGUAAUGGGCUAAGCUUGCCUAUCUAUGAGACCAUUAGAGAAACGAAGAUGAAUGUUGGCCAUAGUGAUCCAAGAGUCUCAGAAUGAAAGGUCUCUCGUUUAACAAAUAUAAGGUAGGCCAAUAAUAACAGGGUGUUGAUUCUCAACUCUCAUUAAUGAGGUUUUUUGGCACCUUGAUAUCAAGUCAUCCCAUCCCAGAGUUGAAUGUCUUCAAGGUUCACUUGUUUGUCCAUUUGAGUGUUACAUGAGUUGGGUUUAAAACAUCAUGAGAUAGUUUGGU